rnacentral:rRNA from 1 species
CACGAACCGUACGAACGUUAUUCGGAAUUACUGGGCUUAAAGGGUUUGUAGGCGGCCUUGUAAGUCAGGUGUGAAAUCCCUCGGCUCAACCGAGGAAUGGCGCUUGAUACUGCAAGGCUUGAGGGAGACAGGGGUAAGCGGAACUGAUGGUGGAGCGGUGAAAUGCGUUGAUAUCAUCAGGAACACCGGUGGCGAAGGCGGCCUUCUGGACAGUGACUGACGCUGAGACGCGAAAGCGUGGGGAGCAAACAGG